rnacentral:rRNA from 1 species
GAUGAACGCUGGCGGCGUGCCUAAUACAUGCAAGUCGAACGCAUUGUGGUUGAAAUGAUAUGAAGAACUUGUUCAGAUUUGAUUUUUCAACAUUGCAAUGAGUGGCGAACGGGUGAGUAACACGUGGGAAACCUACCUCUUAGCAGGGGAUAACAUUUGGAAACAAAUGCUAAUACCGUAUAAUAAUUAAAACCGCAUGGUUUUAGUUUAAAAGAUGGUCUUGCUAUCACUAAGAGAUGGUCCCGCGGUGUAUUAGUUAGUUGGUGAGGUAAUGGCUCACCAAGACAAUGAUACAUAGCCGAGUUGAGAGACUGACCGGCCACAAUGGGACUGAGACACGGCCCAUACUCCUACGGGAGGCAGCAGUAGGGAAUCUUCCACAAUGGACGAAAGUCUGAUGGAGCAACGCCGCGUGUGUGAUGAAGGGUUUCGGCUCGUAAAACACUGUUGUAAGAGAAGAAUGACAUUGAGAGUAACUGUUC